rnacentral:rRNA from 1 species
UACGUAGGUGGCAAGCGUUGUCCGGAUUUACUGGGCGUAAAGAGCGCGCAGGCGGUCGAAUAAGUCGAUGUGAAAGCCCCCGGCUCAACUGGGGAGGGUCAUUCGAUGACUGUCCGACUUGAAGGCAGGAGAGAGAAGCAGAAUUCCCGGUGUAGUGGUGAAAUGCGUAGAUAUCGGGGAGGAAUACCAGUGGCGAAGGGCGGCUUCUUGGCCUGUUC